rnacentral:misc_RNA from 1 species
GAUUAGCUGCUUCUUCCAGUAUCUGUCAGUAUUGAUCAAAUCAGACCGUUGUCAUCAGUCCAAAGUUGAAAUCUAUUACAGAAGCGUAGAAUAAUUAAGCAACAUUUAUUGGUCUACAUAACCAUGUUUCAUACCAUUUAGGUACCAUUUCAAUUAGAACCAGAGAAACAUAUUUUCUCUUCAUAAACCAUAUUUGCUAAGCUCCAUUUAUGUAGUUGAAAUCAUCUUUCAAAAACAAAAACAUAUUAUGCACAUGCUUCUUUCAUGGUAAAAUACAGUGACAAGCACCGAGUAAAGAGUAAAUUGUUUGAUGAGAUGAAGGACAGUUCUUGUUAAAGUGCAUAAAUAGAGGAAAGUCUAAGCUGGCAAAACACAUCAACUAAGAAUUGAAGAAACACCUGACUGAAAAAUAAACCUUCAUAGAAUCCACUUACCCAAGUAUCCCUGAAACUUUACCA